GCGGGUGUAGUUCAAUGGUAGAACUUCAGCCUUCCAAGCUGAGGGUUGCGGGUUCGAGACCCGUUUCCCGCUCCA
rnacentral:tRNA from 1 species